AAUAUACACACGAUAUUUUACUAGCAAACAUGGUAUAAAUUCUAAGAAUUCUUAAAUACAAUCUAGCGAAUUGUAUUGAAUCAUACAACCAACAAAUACAAUACAUAUUUGGACAUAGAAAAAUCAAGGUAGACAUCUCUACUCAUCGGAAAAGAAGACAGAUGAUGAAGGCCGAGAGAAAAUGCCGCAGAAAACACUUAUUUUAAAACAAAUAUCGCAAAUUAAUUAGAAGUAGCCUGUCUAGCACUAGUCCCAUACCCUUUAACUAUGUAGUAAGCCUUUUUACACUGCUU